AAUUACCCCUAACUUAUUUUUUUGUAAUUUUGUGCACCUUUUUGGCUUACUUGACAUCCAAAUAUCUCCCAGCGCCUUAAUUGCAUGGAGUCACGGAGUGUGCCACGUAAGACAAAAGGUGUAUAAAAUUACUCAAAAAAAUAAAUACAGGGGUAAUAGGACCUUAGUUUAGUGAAGGUGUGUCUCUUCAAUUUUGAUCAUAGUCUAGGGGAUACUUGUGCAUUUUUCCGGUGAGAAAUUAUGGACUUUCAAUCAUUUGUAAUGGCUUUUCUUCAUUUGGGUUUGCGAAACUUUUGUGUCUUGCCAUAUGAAGAGCUUUUUCUUUAUUGUUCUUGGUAUGUUGAUUUCUUGAGCUAUUUAUUUUGUAUGUUUUGCAACCUUGCAUAUAUCAUGUAGUUGAAAAUCAGAGGUGUAAAUUUGCUCUCUCUCUCUUUUGACUCAUUCAUAAUCUUUUAUCAUUGAGUCUUUUGUGAAUUAUGAUACUAUUAAUUACCCUUUUCUGUUUUGGAGGAGAAAUGAUUUUUUUAAAACUACUCCUUUUCUUCUUUCAGAAUUUGCAUGAUAAUUUGUUAGUAUCUUAUCCUAGUAUGUUGUUUAUGGUAUUUCAAUUAUCACGUGAUUUUAAUGCGAUUUUGGCUACUUUUUCAGUGUUUCUUGUUUCGAUUCUUUGUAUUGUCCUCUUUUUUUUUAUAUCCGAUUUGUUGCACUUGAGUUUUCAAUAGCAAUCUCUCUACAUGAGUAGUGACAACUAGUUUGGUUAUUGACAAGGAAAAAAAUGGAUCAAGUACCAAGAAUGUCAAUUACUGAAUUUGACGCUGCUGCGACUAAGAUGCAGACAAUGUCAAGAGUUAUAGGACAAGAAGGAACCUUGCAGAUUGUGCUCUACUUGUUGAAUAACAUUAGUUUGUUUGCUGCCUUUCUCUUAUGUAAAAAUAGUUAUAGUUUCUACUCUUGGUUUACAGUUUUUUCCUUCUAGGAGGAAUGCAUGGAUUCUGCAGCUUUAAAGCAGAGCUCUAUUUCAUUUUUUGAUGUCAAUAAACAUGAAGCUGCGAAUCAAGGUGGUCACGUGCAAGAAAAAGGGUUACUAAGAUAUGUUAUGAGAGUCAACUAUACCUCCAUGUUGUCUCAAAUGCUAUUGAAAAUCGAACAAAAUUACGUUUGUGAUAUAAAGGCAGGCAAAGGUUUGAAGGAUGAAAAGGCUGGUAACACUGUAUUAAUUGAUUAUCGUUAUGGACAUAACUUACACUUGUACUAUGAUGUAUGGUUCAACAGCAGAAAUAUCUAACCUUUCUUCUAUUGUUAAGAUCACCGGUCAGAAGCACAAGUAGUUUUGGUUUAAAUUUACAUUAUAGGUCUGCUUCUUUUUUGAAAGUUGGAUGUGGGUGAUGGGAAAGAACUAAAUCUUGAGAGUUACAAUAGAGCUGAUUUGCAAUGUUGAUUCUUCAACCAUUUAUUUGGACCUAAAGAAAGGGAAGCUAAUGAAGUAGUUGUGGAUGCUGGCAACUUGGUAUAUAAGCAAAGCGGUAUGCUACGAAAACAAUAGUGGAUUGUACUUCUAUUUCUACAAGGAUCCAAGUAUAAGACCAAUGCAACAUUUGAGAGUCUCAAUAGCAAGCUACUAUAGUUAAGUCCCUUUCAAAAAAUUAAGUUAAUAUCAGAUCUUAAAUUGAUAAAACAGAUACUUCACUUAGUCUUAGCCAAGGCCGAGAAAGGUAUGCUUUUCUUCAUAUUAACUUGUUCAAACUGUACCCGAUGCUUUCUUCCUCUCUUCAUUUAAAUGCUUGAUGUGGAAAUAUAUCCAGAUCAAAUAAAGUUACUAGCUUCUAUAUUAGAUGGCUUGGCGUUUGAUAAGGUGAUUAUUAAUGGUAAUGAAGUGUUCCAUAUUAUUUGGUCCUUAUACAAAAUAUAGGUAUUUCAUAUUACUUAUUUAAUUUAAAAUAUUAA